AUUUCGCAUUCGAUUUCAAGUUCACUUUCUAGUUACCUUUCUAGGAACUGUUGAGGAAGCUCACAAAAAUCCAAAGUGGGAUGUUCAGGUAUUUUGCAUAACAGUUUUAAGCCAUGGAUACCAUGACACAGUCUCUGAAUAUCACUACAAUGCUUCCUAGUAGAGCUCCACGAUCAUCUGACAUAGCAUUUACGUCGAGUGUUAUUCUUACGGUGUUAACGGGUUCGCUGUUCGUUUCAGCAUGUGUUGUGCUUAAUGGCUACUACUGGAAACGCGUUGGACGUGCAUUGGUUGAAACAAGAAUCGGAAUUGUGGUCUUCUUUUUGGGUGCGUUACUGUCCACUAUCACAACACUCGGUUGCUAUAAGGACAUUGAGAUCUAUGGAAUCUACUCGCUAUUUACUACUCCCACAGACAAUGAAUUUGUGAUGAAACUUUUUGGAAAAGGAUUUUUUAUUGUUAAGGCAGCCUACAAUGCCUUGAUAAUUGACUACCGCCUUCUCUGCUGUUUGCUGUUCUUAGAACAUGCCCUGGAACUUGAAGAUACACGGCACAGCCACAUUGAAAUCCAAUAUGACCCACUUGAUGAACCACAACAUGGUGAUCGUUUCCNUUUGGACGGCCAUAAAAGAUGCUGCAAGAUCAAUUGGAAUGCUCUUCCAGAUGUACUUUUUUAUGAAGAUGGGCCCCAAUUAUUGCACACAAGCAAGAAACAUCAGUCGGAAGAUCCAUCAUCUUCUUGUACCUGCCAUGAUGCUUACCCUUCUGUCCAUCUUUUUGGGCUGUGUCAUUGACCAGUAUAAUGGCAAAGUUGAGCACCUUAUUAAGAAUUCCAACAUAGAUCCCGCUUUGUUGGGUUUCUUUGAGGGCGCAGCACCCAUCCAUCUUGGCUUCACCCUUCACAUGUUCCUUCACUUUUACAUUAUGAAAAGAAAGAUGACUACCAAUCAACAACAACAGAAUGUUAGUAUUUUGCCUGUUGCUGAUCACAGCACUGAUGGCUGUGAUGAUGGAGAAAGACGAGAACAGCCACUUCCUUCUUCAAGUGAAGAUCAGAGUUUUGCAAGUUCAGCAUAACUUAAGGCCAUUUAAUGACAUGGUUUGUUAUGUGCAACUUGUUUAAGUAUACUUUUAUCCUAUGAUCAGGAUUUUGAGCCAUGGUGCAUUGAUUUGGACUCGUUUGAGUCAUUUACUACAAGCUGCAUGUGAUAAUCGUACCUCAGACUUUACCGUAAAUCAGACUUUACCAUUCUUAAACAGUUGAGACUUUGAUAUCUUUAGUGAGUGUCACACCUUUAUUGUUUAUUAUAAAAUGCAAACAUUGAUCAGGGUUUCUCAAGAAAAAGAGACAGCCUUUUUAUUAGAUAAGCAAAUGUGUCGAUCUAUAAUAUAUUUUUAGCAUGUCUUGAUAUUAGCCUCUUCUACUUUAUCCA